rnacentral:lncRNA from 1 species
UCUAUAGUCCUAGGUUCAAGAUCUCAUUUUUCAUCUGACCAAAAGAUCCAACUGACAAUACCAAAUAAGCUAGACAAUUUUGUCUCCUCAAACUUAAUCCGGUACCAACAGAUCACCAAAUGCUCUUACAAGUCCAUCACUUGAUGCACAGGUCGCCAAUCGCACCAUGCGAUACCAACCAUCGGUGAUACCCAACACCUGUCUCCACAAGACCCUGUCGCUGUCGUCCUACCAUGGACCCUAGCGAUCGAUGUUCCGAGCAACACCAAAUGCCUGUCUCCUUGAGACCCAGGCGCACCUGUCAUCAAAUAACCGGAC